rnacentral:rRNA from 1 species
GCUUUUAAAGUAAACGGCCGCGGUAACCUGACCGUGCAAAGGUAGCAUAGUCAAUUGCCUAAUAAUUAUAGGCUAGAAUGAAUGGUUCGACGAAAAACUCUCUGUCUCCUGAGCCAUAAAUUAAAACUAAUCUCAGGGUGAAAAAGCCCUGAUCCAAUCGAAGGACAAAAAGACCCUAUCGAGCUUAAGCCCAAGGUAUAAUUUAAAAUAGACAAUUAUAUAAUCGGCUUUUGUUGGGGCAACAACAGGGAAAUUAAAAACCCCUGUAAUUUAAAGCUAAAUAAAGAAUAAAACCAGUUCUACUGAAUAUAAAAAAGCUACCGUAGGGAUAACAGCGUAAUUCCUUAAUAGAGACCCUAUCGAAUAAGGAGAUUGCGACCUCGAUGUUGGACUAGGAGCCCUCUUUAACGCAGAAGUUAAAGAAAG